rnacentral:rRNA from 1 species
GACGAACGCUGGCGGCGUGCCUAAUACAUGCAAGUCGAGCGAAAGGACGCGAAGCUUGCGUCUCUGAUGUUAGCCGCGGACGGGAGUGUAACACGUGUAUAACCUACCUAUCAGACUGGGAUAACUUCGGGAAACCGGAGAUAAUACCGGAUGAUCUUUUGCACCGCAUGGUUCAAAAGUGAAAGACGGUCUUGCUGUCUCUUCUAGCUGCAUCCGAGCUGCAUUAGCUAGUUGGUAAGGUAACGGCUUACCAAGGCAACGAUACAUAGCCGACGUAAGAGGGUGGUCGCCCACACUGGAGCGUGAACAGGGACCAGGGUCCUACGGGAGGCAGCAGUAGGGAAUCGUCCGCAGUAGGGGGAAGCCUGACGGAGCAAGGCCGCGUGUGAUAUGAAGGUCUUCGGAUCGUAAAAAUGGGUUUUGAGGGAAGAACAGAUGUGUAAGGAACUGUGGACAUCGUGACGGUACCGGGUCAGAAAGCCACGGCUAACUACGUG